UCAAGUGAAUAAGUGCAUAUGGUGGAUGCCUUGGCGAUUACAGGCGAUGAAAGACGUGAUAGCCUGCGAAAAGCUACGGGGAGCUGGCAAAUAAGCUUUGAUCCGUAGAUGUCUGAAUGGGGAAACCCACCCGCAAGGGUAACCUUCUCUGAAUAUAUAGGAGAAAGGUGGCGAACCGAGUGAACUGAAACAUCUAAGUAGCUCGAGGAAAAGAAAUCAACCGAGAUUCCGGAAGUAGUGGCGAGCGAACCCGGAAAAGCCUGUUAUUUUUAGCACAUGCGAUAGUAGAACGGAAUGGAAAGUCCGGCCAUAGAGGGUGAUAGCCCCUUAUACGAAAUCCCGUGUGUGGAACUAGGGUAACGACAAGUAGGGCGGGGCACGAGAAACCCUGUCUGAACAUGGGGGGACCAUCCUCCAAGGCUAAAUACUCGUAAUCGACCGAUAGUGAACCAGUACCGUGAGGGAAAGGCGAAAAGAACCCCGGGAGGGGAGUGAAAUAGAUCCUGAAACCGUAUGCAUACAAACAGUGGGAGCGGACUUGUUCCGUGACUGCGUACCUUUUGUAUAAUGGGUCAGCGACUUACAUUCAGUAGCAAGCUUAACCGAUAGGGGAGGCGUAGCGAAAGCGAGUCCGAAUAGGGCGUUCAGUUGCUGGGUGUAGACCCGAAACCAAGUGAUCUAUCCAUGGCCAGGAUGAAGGUGCCGUAACAGGUACUGGAGGUCCGAACCCACAAAUGUUGAAAAAUUUGGGGAUGAGCUGUGGAUAGGGGUGAAAGGCUAAACAAACUUGGAAAUAGCUGGUUCUCUCCGAAAACUAUUUAGGUAGUGCCUCGUAUAUCACUCUUGGGGGUAGAGCACUGUUAUGGCUAGGGGGUUCACAAGAACUUACCAAACCAUUGCAAACUCCGAAUACUGAGAAGUGCAAUUACGGGAGACAGUCCAUGGGUGCUAACGUCCGUGGACAAGAGGGAAACAACCCAGACCGCCAGCUAAGGUCCCAAAUGACGUGCUAAGUGGAAAACGAAGUGGGAAGGCAUAGACAGCUAGGAGGUUGGCUUAGAAGCAGCCACCCUUUAAAGAAAGCGUAAUAGCUCACUAGUCGAGUCGUCCCGCGCGGAAGAUGUAACGGGGCUAAGCACGUAACCGAAGCUGCGGACGCAUUUAAUGCGUGGUAGGAGAGCGUUCUGUAGGUCUGUGAAGGUGUUCUGUGAGGAAUGCUGGAGAUAUCAGAAGUGCGAAUGCUGACAUGAGUAGCGAUAAAGGGGGUGAAAAGCCCCCUCGCCGAAAGCCCAAGGUUUCCUGCGCAACGUUCAUCGGCGCAGGGUGAGUCGGCCCCUAAGGUGAGGCAGAGAUGCGUAGCUGAUGGGAAACAGGUUAAUAUUCCUGUACUUUAAUAUGAUGCGAUGUGGGGACGGAGAAGGUUAGGUCAUCCAACUGUUGGAAUAGUUGGUUCAAGCGUGUAGGGAGAUCUCUUAGGCAAAUCCGGGAGGUCAAUUCUGAGACGUGAUGACGAGGCACUUCGGUGCUGAAGUGAUUGAUACCAUGCUUCCAAGAAAAGCCACUAAGCUUCAGUCAUAUUAGAACCGUACCGCAAACCGACACAGGUGGGCAGGAUGAGAAUUCUAAGGCGCUUGAGAGAACCCGGGAGAAGGAACUCGGCAAAUUUGCACCGUAACUUCGGGAGAAGGUGCGCCCCGGUAGGUUGUAGAGAUUUACUCUCGAAGGCCGAUGGGGUUGCAGUGAAAAGGUGGCUGCGACUGUUUAAUAAAAACACAGCACUCUGCAAACACGAAAGUGGACGUAUAGGGUGUGACGCCUGCCCGGUGCCGGAAGGUUAAUUGAUGGGGUGCAAGCUCUUGAUCGAAGCCCCGGUAAACGGCGGCCGUAACUAUAACGGUCCUAAGGUAGCGAAAUUCCUUGUCGGGUAAGUUCCGACCCGCACGAAUGGCGUAACGAUGGCCACACUGUCUCCUCUCGGGACUCAGCGAAGUUGAAAUGUUUGUGAAGAUGCAAUCUACCCGCGGCUAGACGGAAAGACCCCAUGAACCUUUACUGUAGCUUUACAUUGGACUUUGACAAGAUUUGUGUAGGAUAGGUGGGAGACUAUGAAGUAGGGACGCUAGUUCUUAUGGAGUCAACCUUGAAAUACCACCCUGAUGUUGUUGAGGUUCUAACCUAGGUCCGUAAUCCGGAUCGGGGACCGUGUAUGGUGGGCAGUUUGACUGGGGCGGUCUCCUCCCAAAGAGUAACGGAGGAGUGCGAAGGUAACCUAGGUACGGUCGGAAAUCGUACUGAUAGUGCAAUGGCAAAAGGUUGCUUGACUGCGAGACGGACAGGUCGAGCAGGUGCGAAAGCAGGUCAUUAUCGUGACUGGGAAACAGACAAAUGAGACAAGACUAUCUCAUCAUAGCAUCCACAGCUAUUAUCAUCUCAACACUUACAACUAACUCAAGGAUGGCAGUAUUCAAUAUCGUCAUAGCCAUUAUAGCUUUCAUCCUCUAUUUAGGUCAGAUCCCCGUCAAACCCAAACACCCACUACCACCAAACACAAAAGUGAGGAUCGACUUCUCUAAAGCACCAAACAACAAGCAGAUCAGACUCAUCAAAGACUCCCACAAACUCCAAAACACAGAGCAAGAGGUUGAACUUUAUCUCCAAAACACCAAACUCUACAAACUCAAAAACCUAGAUCAACUCUUCGACGAAAACUGGAUCAUCAAGAAAUAAACAACAAAAGGGGCGUAAAACAAAACUCG
rnacentral:rRNA from 1 species